UACCACAUUUUGCCACUCCCCUGUCUCCCCGCCUCGUGCCAGGCCAGGCUGCACCAGCGCUCACCCACUGGCACAGUGGGAUUUGGAAAGGGAGAGGAUCCCCAACACUGUCUGUCCCCUUCACUGGGAGGGGAAUGAGGUGUUUUCACGAGGGCAGAGUGUUCCCUGCCAACACCUGCACAGACCUACCUUAACUCCCAGGAUCAGCAUGGCAGCCUCAUCCCUGUACAUCAAACCCUGCACACCAACACCAAUCCCUGUCCACACAGCAAACCCUGUACAGCAAACCCUGCCAGCACACCAAAACCUGCACACCAACCCCUGCACACCAGUCCCUGUCCAUGCACCAAACCCUGCACACCAAACCCUGCCUGCACACCAAAACCUGCACACCAAACCCUGCACACCAACCCCUGCACACCAGUCCCUGUCCAUGCACCAAACCCUGCACACCAAACCCUGCCAGCACACCAAAACCUGCACACCAGUCCCUGUCCAUGCACCAAACCCUGCACACCAAACCCUGCCUGCACACCAAAUCUCUUCUGUGCACACCAAACCCUGCACAUCAAUCCCUGCCUGCACACCAAACCCUGCCUGUACACCAGUCCUUACACACCAAUCCCUUCCUGCACACCAAACUCUGCCUGCACACCAUACCCUGCACACCAAACCUUGUUUGUUAUACCAAACCCUGCACAUCCAACCUGGCACAUCAACCCUUGCCUGUACACCAAACCCUGUCUGUACACCAAACCCUGCACAGCAAACCUUGCCUGCACACCAUACCCUGCACACCAAACCUUGUUCAUUAUACCAAACCCUGCACACCAAACCCUGCACACCAAACCCUGCCCGCACACCAAGCCCCCCCUGCACACCAAACCUGUCCACAUGCCCUACCUGCACAGGAAGCUCUGCCUGCACACCAAACGGUGCCCGCACACCCAAACUCUCCCCGCGCACCAAACGCUGCCCACGCACGUGCCAACAGCUCCCGCUCACACCCCCCCUCCCUGCGCUCACCCCGCUGACCCCCUGCACCCCCAAACACCCCCACGACCCACCCACCGCCAC
rnacentral:lncRNA from 1 species